UUUCAAUAUGUAGUCGAUCUUGAAAAUGACUACUGAUGUAUCUUGCGUUCUUUUUUUCAGGCUAAUUCUUUGAACUUUGGCGUGUAUUUUACACUUACAGCACAUCUCAAUCAGACCAGCCACAUUGCAAGUGCUCCAUAGGCACAUGUGGCAGGUGGCCACCGAGGUGGACAGCACAGCCCGAACAGAGUCCUUUCUGUUACUCUUCAGAAACAAUAGCUUUCUCCAUUCAGGACCACACUCCUGCAUGCCCUCUCCACCGCAUCAGCACCUGCGCCAUGGUUCACAGGUGGCCUUGGGAUUGUAAGGCAAGCGCUGUGCUUCUGUUCGCUUGCAGAGAGCCCUGAACUCAUGCUUCUGUCUGGGCAGCGGCCCUUGACAGCUGGGGCUCGCUCUUUCCUUCCCAGGGCGCCAUGGUUGGAUGCUGUAUCUUGCUAAAGUCAAACUUUCUACUUCGAAAAACUUUACAAAACUUCACAAAGGCAGAUUUUCUCUUACUUUUUAAAAACAGGUCUGUCAUUUCUUAAUUUUCUCUCUGGUACAUUUUCCAGCCAUUGUUUUGCUAAUAAUAGCUCUAAGCAUGCAAAUAAAGCUCAGUGGUAGUGGUAGAUUUGGGAAAUUGCUGCUAGCUUCCUCACAGCCUUAUCCUGCUCCUGUCAGCCAUUUCCCCAAGAAAAUGGACGUUUCAUCAGCACCAGGCUGCAUCUUAUUUGUGUAGCUUAUCAGCUACCGCCUCCUUCCAGGCCCAGAGAGAAGACAGAAACCUACAGGCUGCCCGCAAUGGCCCAGGAGGCGGGGUUUCCACCAGGAAGCAGCGCCUUUAUGAAUUAAGCACGUGACGCAUCUCAGCGUGGCCACGUCUGUAAGGUGAUAUGGAAGUUGUUUCUAAAUAUUGCCACCUAUGAAGGUUCUCAGAUCCCACAGUCCUGGAGCCUGCCCCCCCACCGGCCCCUAGAAAAAAAAGCUUUAAAAAUUAAGAAUUAUUCUAAAAGUAGAAAAUCUGACCCACUGCACUCGUCAAGAAUUGGGCCUCUUGAUCCACUAGCUCCUCAUCAGGCAAUGGCAUUCUGAGAAAAUCAGGCAGCAAUGGCAGUCCGCUCAGAGGUUUGGGGACUCGCUGUGAAUUUGUUGAUAUUAUCUACCUCCUUUGACGCAACGAAACUUUCCUUCUCCAGAAAACGGCAGCGCCAUUACCAUUCUGGGAUUCCCUGUGUUAGGCCUCACCCACCGACUGCUUGGCUGUCUAUCCAGAGGAAUUAAAACACCCAGCGCCCCAGGGAAUGUCAUAAAAUUUCACCAUAUUCAGUGACACCCUCUUCAACGAAUUGCAGAGAACCAAGUCUUGUGUGCACCUGGCUGUGAAUCACCGACUGGGUGACCUCCAUUUGGAAGCUGCUCUCCUGUUGGGAUGAAUUUAUCCUUCAUGAGAUGGAAGUACCUCCCUUUUCCUAGGGCUGCACGCCUAAUUCCACAUCACUCUGACAUUACUUCAGUUGUUUACACGGCAAUCUUGUGUGAUCCAAGCCGCUCUACUACUGCUGUCAUUUUAAGACCGUUUGAAACAUCUUAAUAGUCCCAUUUUUUUUCCUUUUCCUCUUGCCCAUUUCCAAAUGGAAGGAAUUCUUAUGAGAGGUGACAACCACGACAACCUUUACAUCACUUGAGGAUGCUGCCUGUGUGUGUAGGUGCCGGAUAUAAGACGUGUAUGGAUUAAACGCACACGGACUCAUCCAACAACUUUACCUUGAGGAAGAUGAGUUGAGAAAGUUCGCCUUGUGCAUUGAACUAGAAAGAUAGACUCAUUAAUCUUUACAUUGGAAAAAUAAAAUAAGGAUUGGCUCCCUGGAAUUGGAAGUGAUUGCCCAAUAAUUAGAAGGAGGCCAAGCAAAAGAAGAAAGCAGACAAAUAGCAAAAUGAGAGGUGGGAUGGCACCAUGCUUUGUUCCCAAUAGGCACUCAUAUUUGCAGGGUUUCAUUAAAUGGAAAGGUUUGGGACUAGACAAUGGAUUACUUUGGGGACCCCCUCACAGCACUGCUCGUGGGGCAACAUGACCAGGAGGUGACCUGGAAUACCCACGCCCCUCCCAACCUCAGACAAGGAACUCCAGGAACAAGCCUGCCUGAGAGGGAAGCCAGUGCUUCCUCCAGGUGCAGGAAACUGAGCGGCCCUGUCCUUAGGGGCAGAGGCCACUGUGAUUUGCCUAUGGGGACAGCACUGCUCCGAGGUUCUGCUGGGUCCUUCCUGGGAAUGGCUCCUUCCCCACAAGCCUCAGAAAUCUGUAGGAG
rnacentral:lncRNA from 1 species